GUGUGUUGGAGUUUAAAUAGUCUUUCUGGGCACUGAAAGAAAGGAAAAUUGCUCCUUAAGGACUUGCAAACGCCAUGCACCCUUUUUGGACCCGUAUGUUACUCAGAAACAGGUCUAGAUGAAAAUAAGUGGGUGAAAGCUGUGUUUUGGAAAUUGAGCGUAACACAUAAACACAACUGAAGAGGAGACAAAAUAAUGUACCAUUAGAAAAAAAACGUAAUCCAGAGCAACAAUGGAACUUUUAUCCAAAUUAUUUGAAAAGAAAACGCUACACCUGCAGUCUUAGACAUGAUCCUCAUUUGGCAGGCAGAGAACUUUGUGUGUGAUGAUAAAAGUGUCCUCCCAUCUUCCCUAGCUCUAGCCUGCUGCCCUGUGAGAACUGUUGCGCCCCUCUCCAUGGUACACCAUAUAGCCAAUAUAUUGAGUUGGACCAACAGCAACACACAUACAGAAUGUCAUUAAUAUCAGUUCAGCCAUUUUUGCGUGAUUACUGAGUAAGCAAGCAGCUAAAUAGCUUAAAAUUUCAUUUAAAUAGAUUAAAAGACAGAAAUAUCAGACACCCUAUCAGCUUGAUUUAAAUCAAAUCUUGGAGUCAUAACUCCAGCUGCAGCCUCAGGAAUUUCUGUGUCAUCAUUCAACAAGGGACGAGCUUGUUUACUUUUUAUUCUUCGUUUUGUGCGUCACAUCUUCACUGCCGAGUUAAACUCUGUGUGUGGUUCUGCACAAGCUUGAAAUCCAAGAAAGUUGGGUCAGUUUGCACUUUCUGGCUAUUUAAUUUGUCAGUACUGUGCACUUUAACAACUAGAAAAGCACAAUCAAGCUCAGGGCUUUGUUUCUUUAUUUUUCAAUUUCCACUUUUGCUUUGAAGAUCUGUUUCUGUCUCUCUCUGUUUCUUAGACAUUGUACAGAAAAUUGUCAGCUGUUCUCGUGAUUCGUUUGGAAAGCCUAAACACGCCAGCCCACAUCUCCCAAGCUUGUUCUAGUGGCCCAGCUAACUGGCACAUCUUCAGCUAAUGUAACCUUCAUCUCCUCUAGGUGAAGUGACAAAUAAAAAAAAAAAAAAUUAGGAAUUUACUUUACUGAACUUCCAGCCUCACCCAAUUUAAAAAUGCCCUCCACUGUCCUAAAAGUGGUUCUUUGCAAUAUCCAAGAAGUUGCCUUUUCUUCAAACGUUCCCAGAACAAAACGACAUUUGAUUUAGCAAGUUAACUAUUAAAGUCACUAAGGAACGUUUUUCUCUAUCUUUUAUUAUGAAGCCAUUAGGGUUAAAGGCUGAGAGUGCAAUCAGUGAACAAUUCUGUUUGAACUGUUUUAAAUUCCACAGAGCCCACAUCAAUCACAAUAUUAUCUGGAGUAUUGGGUGUUUUAUUUUACUUUAAUUUUAUUUUUGAGGUUUUGUCCUCAGAACUGUGAUCUUAAUGUUCUUGUUGCCUGUGAACCAGUUAUUGCUUCUCUAUUAUGUUUGUUGGCUUGGCCUGGAACUAAACUCUACCAAGGUGCUCCAAGAAUAAUCAUCUACGCCUGAAGGAGUAGAUCACCUAAUCAGUGUUCCUUCUAGUUUUUUUUCACAGAUGAGCAAGUGAGAAUAACAGAGGAUCUGGUACUUUCCAUUUUUGAACAAUUCUUUUUUUGAUUAAAAAGUAUCGAGACUGUUCCUGUUUCUCUUUCAUGGCAAUGCUGUUCAGAUGUUUGUGAAGAGGUAUAUGUUGGCAAGUGUGAACCUGUAGUUGGAGUGCUGUAUUCUUCGGCGUUCUGCUACAGUCCGUGGAAGCACCUUGUGUGUGUCAUCAUGGCGGGUGAAGAAGACGUUUCUGUGAGAGUACAGCAGAGGCGUGUAACUAAAUCUUGCGUUAAGCUUGGGGAGCUUUGAAAUGUUACGGCAAGCAUUUCUAGAGUUUCAUUACCACUCUUCCCAUGCUUAAUGCAAAAUUCAGUUACACUCCUCCGCUGUAGUCUCACAGGAACGUCUACAAGUGAUGAAUGCCUUUCAGUGGUAAAAGCACUUUAGGGUUGGUGACAUGUGAGUGAAGGCCAUCCAACAUGGGUACGGAUGUCAACAUUGUCAAGGCUAAUGAACUAGUGCAAGAAGGCAGAAGAGAAGGAUCACUUUACUCAAACUUUUGGGUUCACCUGGCCUUUCAUUCAAAUGGACUCGACACAUUGGGACAGAAAAAUUGAAAAUGUGUCGUGUAUGCCAGCUGGGUACCCAUUUACGUGGAAUCAUGAGAAAGAAAAGACCAGAUUUCCUCAAGAAACGGCGAUUUUUGCUCCAUAAUAAUACAUGACCGCAAGUUGCUGCUGUUGCAUUGGCAACACUGACUGAAUUUGGUGGGACUGCGCUGUAACACCCACUGUAUAGCCGAGAUUUAGCACAGUGUGAUUCCUGGGUAUUCCCAAAACUGAAAAAACAAUUACCCAGAAAGAAGUUCUCCUCAGAUGACGAAGUGAGAAAUGCCACGACCACAUUGUGGUUGCAAAACAGUCUGUUACUUGUCUUUAAAUUGUUUUGAAACAUAAAAAAAUAUUCAUUAUGAAGGAUGUUUGUUCAAAAAAGAAAAAUGUUCUGAUCUUGUGAAGUCAUCUGAUCCUGAAUUAGCUUUAAUCAGCCCUUGUAUGAAUUAUGGAGGUAAGAAUUUUGUUUAAUAUUAAGCAUGCAUGGAUCACAAACUGUUUACGUUACUGGUUUAUGCUUUUUGUUUGGCAUUGCAGUGUAACCACAUGCUUGGGAGUCCGUUGUACGAGGAGUCUGUUAACUCUUGGGCCAUAGCUGAGAACGGCCGCUCGCCUGUGCAUGGCAGUGAAGAUUCAUAUUAAAUCAGUGGUUGCCUGCAAGUCGAAGAUUACAAGGCGACACGUGCUCGUAUCGUGAACACAUGUAGCCACUUUGCCGCUGACUCAGCCAACAAGUCUGUACAGAGGAGAUUCAGCCAGAAACGGACAACGUGCCAGAGAAAGAGCCUCUGCUGCUGGAAGAUGUGAAGUGAAGACACAUCUGGGCCACAAGCGGAUUCACUAUUUUACAAAGACUUGUUUUUACAGUCAAGUACUUUAAGUGCCACGGGUCUGGAGGAGCAGGAACCUUCCCUUGCCAAUGUCAGAAAAGAUGCAUCACUAAAAGGACUGUGUCUCCCUAAGGAACUACUGGAUACUGCUGCAGAAAAAAGUCCCGGCUACUUCGCUCAGCUGUUUGGCACCACAACUCUGAAGGUUUAUUUGCUGCAUCUGAUUCCAGAUUGCUGAUGUAUAUUAAGAAAAAUGAGCCUAACCCAGAUGCCCAAAACACUCCAUUAUGCACUUCAUCACAGGUUACUGUUCUCCUGUUUCCUGUCCGUUAAGUAACUUAAUUUCCAAUUUCCUAACUUGCCACAAACUUCCUAUGACUCAGAAUCAUAUAGAAAAUAAAUGAAUGUGUGGUACUAUAGAUAAGUAAGGCGUCUAACCUCAGGAGCUGUGUGUAGCAUGGAGCAGUCUGGAUGGUCAGGCUGUCUAUAAAGAUUUUGCACUUUGUUGGCUUCAUCAGUAAUUCCAAACUGGUCCAGUGGGAGCGGGUGUUCUCAUAUGUGCCUUGCAUUUGACUGACCAAGGAUGGUUCUUGACAUUUAUUUAAAUGGCACUAAGAUAGUUGCUGGAUCGCAGUGACUCUCUCUUAGAAAAGGUGGUUUCAGUAAAUGGAUGGAUGUACAGUUUGUGUGUGUUUGUUUAUUGACUUCUGACCUUGCAGAGGUAUGGCAUACAAAUGUGUAAUAACUAGGAUCUGUUUUGUCUACCUUUAUAUGGACUGCAACUUUCCAGCCAUCAGAUUACUUCCCCUAUCUUGACUGGCACUGAAAUGGAAACUCAAAUCUACUUUAUUCUUGCAAGGUGGGAGUAAACGUGUUACAACAAAACUUAUCGUUAUUUUGAAACUUUCCAUCCUGUCUUCCAGUUAGUGAUGAUUCCUGUUUUUAUUUUUUUUUUCUGGAAUGAGUCACAUGUGCAUAAGUAACUGGAACAGAACUAUGUAGGUACAUUAUGGGAACUGAUAGAUGCUUUGAGUAUAACACUGUAGUCCAAGUUUUGAUUUGAACUUUCAUUUCAAAAAGAAGUAGUGGGGUUUUAAGCAGUGUCUUGCAUUUGAAUUCUGCAUUUUCUUUGACAUUGUGGGUCUGUUCCUUAAGCCUGGUCUGAUGAUAUUUUUUUUCUUUCUUUUUUCCCCACCAUCGGUACUGCUGCCUGUGCAAAAACUAACAAGUUUGUGCCACCUUACUAAGGAGAGGAUCAAGUUCACAAUUGAAGAAUCCUAAAGUUUUAGGUGCUUUUAAAAUAAUUCCCAUUUUUUGUUUUUCUAAAGCUGAACAAAUGUGUAAAGCUGAAAUGACUUUCAUUUGGUAGGCUGUGAAGGAGUUAAACAGCCCGGCUGUGUGAGAGUAUAGUACAGUACUGGGGUCACUUGCUUACAGCACAUUCUAUCCCAGCCUAAUUCGAGGGCUGCCCUCUUUGUGUAUCCCUCUGUCACUCUUGGGCUUGGGUGCACACGCCUUCAUACUUUUCACUUCAAGACAGGUCGGUGGGAGGAUCCUCAAGGUUAGUUGAAGAGGCCGGCAUGCAGGGAAAAAAACUGUGUGUUAGGUGGGGGUGGGGGAUAUGUCCUUCAUUUGGGGGGGAGUGAGUGAGACUGGUUGGGCAACUUUUCACUUUUGUGUAUUUCAGGGUGGUCUUUUGUGCUGCUUCGUUAGGUUGUUGGCACACCUCUUCAUUUUAAUUUUGUCUUUUUUUCUUUACUUUAAAGUUCACUGUGUACUUGAAGUAUAAAGACUGAAGUCUGUGCUUUUAUUCCAUCCAGAAAAAGGUUUUCUAUAAAGGUAUCCAUACUACUUGCACCCUAUGCAUUAGCUUUUUCAAAUGAAUGAGUGGAGUCGAUUUGAUUCACAAAAUCAUCUUUUUAGAAUUGGUGGGCCUUUUUUGUUUUGUUUGUUUUUAUAGCUUGGAGACAAUACCUAAAAGUAGAUCAUGGUUCUUUUUUUUUUUUUUUUAAGAGACCACUGCUUAGGCUAAUUCUCAGUGCUGAUCCAUCUAAUAAUUUCAUUCCAAGUUCAAACAGUGUUGGAGCCUAUUGUAGAGCAUCUAGCAUGAGGCAGGAAAACCAGUCCAUCACCAGACACAUUAAUAUAUACCUACACUCCCUCAGGAUCAAUUUUGAUUGAUCACGUAACUAACUAUGCAGCUAAUGAAAUAGAAUUCAUUCAUAAAUAGUUAAUGACCUCACUGUAGUGAAACAUAAGUCCACAACCUGGGUUGUACUGUUGGUGCCAAGCUGUCAAAAAGACCUGUUUUAUUGCAUUCUAGAUCAAACCCAAGUGGCAGGGAAAAUGCGUACAGCUUCACUAUAGGGAAUGGAACUUGGAAAAUGUGAUUAGCUACACAGAAGCCUCAAUGUAAAAAUAAGUAGUUUGAGAACUUUCAUUUGGUCACCUAAUAAAACCAUGGCUAUUUACUAACUAAAGAAGCACUUGAGGAAAAUGAACCUCUUGACCUAAAGCUAAAGCACAGUGACGGCAGUGGUCCUCUUGUAGUUAAACUGGACCGUGAAUGGUGAUAAUGCUCAACAAAAAAAUGCCAUUUCUAAUUGAGUGAAAGUAGUGUGGGCGGU